rnacentral:rRNA from 1 species
CAAUCCUAGAGAUAGGACGUCCCCUUCGGGGGCAGAGUGACAGGUGGUGCAUGGUUGUCGUCAGCUCGUGUCGUGAGAUGUUGGGUUAAGUCCCGCAACGAGCGCAACCCUUGAUCUUAGUUGCCAGCAUUCAGUUGGGCACUCUAAGGUGACUGCCGGUGACAAACCGGAGGAAGGUGGGGAUGACGUCAAAUCAUCAUGCCCCUUAUGACCUGGGCUACACACGUGCUACAAUGGACAGAACAAAGGGCAGCGAAACCGCGAGGUUAAGCCAAUCCCACAAAUCUGUUCUCAGUUCGGAUCGCAGUCUGCAACUCGACUGCGUGAAGCUGGAAUCGCUAGUAAUCGCGGAUCAGCAUGCCGCGGUGAAUACGUUCCCGGGCCUUGUACACACCGCCCGUCACACCACGAGAGUUUGUAACACCCGAAGUCGGUGAGGUAACCUUUUAGGAGCCAGCCGCCGAAGGUGGGACAGAUGAUUGGGGUGAAGUCGUAACAAGGUAGCCGAUC